rnacentral:lncRNA from 1 species
CUGUAAUCCCCAUCCUGAUGAAUAUCACGCCUUAUCCUAUCACCAAUAUUCUCGUAAAUACGCCACCCCUCCCCCGAUUUUUUUGCAAUAGAUGAGAUGAUGCCACUUUCCAUUCGGAAUAUUAAGUGCUGGGCAAAACAGAUCUUUCACAAGUUGCUCAUCCAAGAGGAGAGAUCAGAUGGAUUGUGGAGGAAAGAGAUGGACCGCUGGACUAGGCCCGGACCCAGUUAUGAAUUUUUCCAGGAGAUGGGACCCGAGAUUCGAACUCUGAUCCUCCUCGGUGGAAAGCCGAAGCAUUUCCACGCGACCAAUCCGGCCGACCUGAUGUCAUCUAGAUCAAAAAAGGUUUUAGAGAUCGAAAAAUCUUGUGUAG